GAUAAACGCUGGCGGCGCACAUAAGACAUGCAAGUCGAACGGAAGUCGUUAUACUGAUUUUGAAAUGAACUGAGAACUUGUUCAAAGGGACUUGAUGAAGAUUUAUAACAAUGGCUUUAGUGGCGGACUGGUGAGUAACACGUAAGCAACCUGCCUAUUAGAGGGGAAUAACAAUGAGAAAUCAUUGCUAAUACCGCAUAAGCUUGUAGGACCGCAUGGUCUAGCAAGAAAAGGAGCAAUCCGCUAAUAGAUGGGCUUGCGGCUGAUUAGCUAGUUGGUUAGGUAACGGCUGACCAAGGCGACGAUCAGUAGCCGGGCUGAGAGGCUCUUCGGCCACAUUGGGACUGAGAUACGGCCCAGACUCC
rnacentral:rRNA from 1 species